CUGCCCUAUUACUAUCAUCUCUGAUAAAGAUAAGAUUUUUACUAAUUCUUUUUGAAAAUAACUAUUCAGGUUGUUGGGGACCAAAUUGACUUAUACUUCAGCAUACCAUCCCCAAUCAGAUGGUCAAUCUGAAAGGCUAAACCAAAGCCUGAAAGGAUACUUGAGGUGUCUUUGUUAUCAACAACCACAUUCUUUGGCCAAGUAGUUACCAUUGGUCGAGUGGUGGUAUAAUACUAGCCAUCAUUCUUCCUAGAAAAUGACUCCAUU
rnacentral:misc_RNA from 1 species